rnacentral:SRP_RNA from 17 species
UUGACGGAAGCGCGGGGCCCGUGAGCGCUGGGUGCAAAAGCAGCGGUAGAACCGGCGAGGGCGAGGAUGUAGGAGGCGAAAGUCUUCAUUUUUAUUGGUGUUCGAU